CUUCUGUUGUUCCAGAGUUACUUUCAUUUUCCCAGUUAGGUGCUGUUUGUUCCUGAAUAAAACAGCCUGAGGUUUGGGGCCUGGAGAAAAGAUACCCAUCGCAUGGCUCUAAGAGGGACUGCAGUUACCUGGCAGCUUGAACAAGGACCUGCUGCUGGGAGUACAAAGACAUUGUAAAUGACUCAUUGAAACGCACAUUUAUAAUCAUCACAGGCUUGAGUCAUUGUCUCUACACAGAGGUGACCUGAGUGGGGUGUGGGGCCCGGGGCAAAUCAGCCUGUGUGGGGCCCAACCCCCUGACGCAAGGAAGCCAGCGGCAGAUUCAGCGGGGGUGGGAUGCCAAGCAGCUGGACAUGAAGCCAGCACAGUCGCACAGCCACUCCACCUGGCUCUGCAGGGCCUCCCAAACCACAGGUCCUGGGACGGUCACCCCGAUUCACCCCCGCCCCUCCCCAGGGAUGGCCCUGUCUCUACCCAAGAGUUGUACUGUCUUAGCUAUACCAGUGUAGUUAAAGUGGUACAAACCACAGCUCCCUGUCUAGGGAGCCAGUUAUACAGGCAAACAUGGUUAUGCAGUAAAGUUAUUUCUGUAGAAGAAUGGGGAUGAAUAUCUAUGCUGGUGUAAGCAGCUUUAUGUUAGUGUAAUUUUGUCCACAAUCAAGUUUGUACUGGAUUAAUACAAAUGACAAUGUCACACCCUAACUGAAAUAAUUCAAAUGGAAUGAAAUUUGUAUUAGACCAGGCCUUUGUGUUAGACUAGGUUUUUGUGUUGGAGGUGUAAAAAUAAUCAACAAUAACUCAUCAUUAGCAUCUGCCAGCAGUUAUAACUGCCGUUGGUACAUAAUAUACCACAAUUCUAACCUAAAAUCUUAAGGAUAAAAUAUAUAAAUAGAAACACAUGUUAAACUCCUAAUGGUGUGUUUAAGAUCUAUAUACAUGACAUGAUUCCUCGGCCUUAUCAUGUACCCACUCCAUCAUGCAUGACCCACUUUACUAAGUGAAACAAGGAUGUAAAAAAAAUAUUACAUCUGGGUUCUGUUCCAGGUCUUGAUCCUGAAAACACCUAAAAUAUAUGUGUUGUAUUUGCUGAUUUCAUACAUUAGGAUCAUCUGUAUAACACAGGCCCAUAGAAUUUCACCCCAGAAUUUCUGCUUCUUGCUCAACAUCUUUUAUAUACUUAGUGGUGUCAUGUGUCAGAUAACCUAUAAAGUGUGUUAUAAGUGUGAAUUUUCAAGGCCUGACAAUGGCAGAAAUGAAGGUAUCUCCUAGCUUUAUCCUCUUAAUCUAUGAGGAUGUGUGUCUAUAGUGGGUUUGUAUGACUGCUUCCUACUCCCAUCACCCUUCAUUGCCUACUUCUAGUUUCUCAAAUAUUAAAUACCAAGUAUUUGAUUUAUUUUUUUUUAAAUAUUUUGUGUUCAAAUUGAAUAAAAAAGAAAACGGCA